GUGACUCUGAUUGUUUUUCUGUCCAGUUCCCGAGGUUUGCUCUCCGAUAACGAGCUUUCUGCUUCGAUUUCCCUGCGUCGCCGAGUGCCUGGAGAGCUGCAGGAAGCUGAUGCCUGACCAUUACCUCACCCCUCCCAAACUGUCCAUGCCGACCCUGCCGCCAGAGCUGACCCGGGAGCUGUCGCUGCUCGCCGCGCAGACGCGACGAUGCUGCACGAGCAUCGUCAGCCGCCUUAACUCCACCUCCCAGCAUCCUCAGCAGCCUUAACCCCGUCCUCCUGCAGCAGACCCUUAGGGAAACCUUUUAGACACAUUAAGUUUGAGUAGCUCUAAACCUUUGCAGUGCCAAACACACCCGUCUGUAUCUGCAGCAUCCCACAUCCUCCUCACCAUCACGCCCAUCGUGCUUUACUGCUCUGCACUGCUUCACCCCGAGCUGCCAGCUGACCGCACUUCAGGGGGUCGUGGUGGAGGCUUGGGUGAAGCUCCAGGGCUCAACGUCCCCUGCAUUAUCACAACCCCAGAGUUCAGGACUCCAACUGUCCCCGACACAGAGCUCGGUCCCUCAGGUGAUCUGUCUGCAGACGAGGAUCAGGGAGACCUGCUCAGGGCAGACGAUCAGACGCGUCCUCUGUCAGCAGCCAGUGUCGGCAGCGUGGUGAUCCAGGACCGUCUCAAUCAUCUCGUCAGGCUGUUUAAAGGUCGGACGGAGCGGCACAAAGACCGGCUGGUGGACCCGGACGAGUCUGAGGAAGAAAGUCCCUCAGCCUGUACGAACCGACUUU